GCCGGGCGUGGUGGCGCAUGCCUGUAAUUCCAGCUACUCAGGAGGCUGAGGCAGGAGAAUCGCUUGAACCUGGGAGGCGGAGGUUGCAGUGAGCCGAGAUCGCGCCACUGCACUCCAGCCUAGGCGACAAAGCGAGACCUUGUCUCAA
ensembl:misc_RNA Metazoa_SRP Metazoan signal recognition particle RNA